AGUUGGAAGAUGGGACUGGGUCUUUAGACCAUGCACCCAUCAGUCACUGGAUAGGGGUGCCUAUGGGAAUGGGGCAUGCUGGGUAAGGUGGCUCCCCAAACUGAGGCUGUCUCUCAAAGAAGCUGACAGUGAGGGCCAUCCCAGCAUCUGGGCAAAUAAAGCCUCCACUCCAAGAAAUAACCAGACAGGGUUGCCAGGGAAAAGAGAGAAAACAAUAGCUGGGCAACUAAAAUGAGAAAAACAAAUGAUUUCUCUACCAAAGUUUCUUGAAAACACCCAGUGUGGUUUCAGCACAUAGACAGUAAAAUCUUCUAAAAGCCCUUUCCCCAUUUCUUUCCUUCUUUGUGUCUCAUAGAACAUCAGGUGCUUCCAAGCCCCUCCCCUGAGUCCCAUACCAAUAUAAACCCAGCCCUGCUGCUGUGUUUUACUUUUCCUCUUUGCAAAUGUCAGCAAACAUCAUCUCUGCUGUCUCUUUGUAGUGUCUCUCUCAAUAAUUGCUAAAUGAAUGUAUCACGCAUCUUUUAGCCCACCAGUUACUCCAACCGUCUUGAUGGCAGCCAGUUUUGCACAGGUGUAACCUGACAGCAACCCAGUUCUGCUGUAUUAUGUGGCACUUGUCAUCAGCUCCUGGGCUUCUCUAACACUAUGGCCUGGGACACCCGGGACACCUGUCUCAAUAUGUGGACGACGUGGGAUAGAGAAUUUAUGCUCUAAAAGGCAGCCCUGAACCAAUGAAGGAUGGAAACCAAGAAAUAAAUGCUCCCUUUCUCCAGUAGACAAUUCUAAGGCCCACUCUAUAUGGCUCACAAGAAGGAUCUUGUGGGACUGGAUUCCAGUUGUCUACAGCAAUGAACCAACCACUUGAGAACACACCUUGGAAUGGCAUUGUCUCUUUUUCUCAUCUUCCUGUUCUGUUUGGGGGAUUACUUCCCCAAAGCAAUUAUCUGCACAUAAAUUUUUGUCUUAGUCCCUGCUUUCUGUGAGGAAACUCAGAGGCAGAAACAAAGGCGAUGAAUGAAUGAGUAUAGAAGAGAACUCCAUGGUGGGACAGUUUUCCUAGGUAAUUAAGGAAACUAAGAAUGAAUCCUCUGAUUCUUUCAGAGAUGCAGAAAGAGCUUCAUUGCUCUGUUGUCCCAUUAAACACUUUAAACACUUUACAAAUGAUGCAAAUGCAGAUAGCUAAUCCAGAAUUCCUUGUGUGUGUAUGUAUGUGUGUGUGUGUGUGUGCCUGUUUGUUUUAGUAAGCUGGAAUGCAUUCGGCCUCAGAAUAAUUUCUUGGUAUCAUGACUGUUCUGUGGAAUUCUGCUGAGGGAAUAUGUGUGUCUGUGUUUAUGUAGGCAAGAAGAAAUGAGUUAAUGUGUCUUACAGAGCUUUUGCAAACACUGAGUUAGAAGCAGAAAUUAAAUCACUGUCCAUCUCUUUAUAGUCCUUUAGAUUAAAAAAUAAUGGUAAAUCAGAACACCUGGGACAAUAUAAAUUAACUCUUGGAAAAUCUCAAUAAACUACCACCUGUUUUUGAGCAUUUACGUGGGAAACAAACUUUUUUCAAUAAAAAAUGUUUAUUAAAAAUUU